GACGAACGCUGGCGGCGUGCUUAACACAUGCAAGUCGAACGGAAAGGCCCUGCUUGUGUGGGGUGCUCGAGUGGCGAACGGGUGAGUAACACGUGAGUAACCUGCCCUUGACUUUGGGAUAACUUCAGGAAACUGGGGCUAAUACCGGAUAGGAGCUCCUGCUGCAUGGUGGGGGUUGGAAAGUUUCGGCCGUUGGGGUUGGAUGCGCGGCUUACCAGCUUGUUGGUGGGGUAGGGGCUUACCAAGCCUUGGACGGGUAGCCGGCUGGAGAGGGUGACCGGCCACCUUGGGACUGAGAUACGGCCCAGACUCCUACGGGAGGCAGCAGUGGGGAAUCUUGCACAGUGGGCGGAAGCCUGAUGCAGAAACGCCGCGUGCGGGAUGACGGCCUUCGGGUUGUAAACCGCUUUCGCCUGUGACGAAGCGUGAGUGACGGUACUGGGUAAAGAAGCACCGGCUAACUACGUG
rnacentral:rRNA from 1 species